CUACGGGGGGCAGCAGUGGGGAAUAUUGCACAAUGGGGGAAACCCUGAUGCAGCAACGCCGCGUGGAGGAUGACACAUUUCGGUGCGUAGACUCCUUUUAUAGGUCAAGAUAAUGACGGUAGCCUAUGAAUAAGCGCCGGCUAACUCCGUGCCAGCAGCCGCGGUAAUACGGAGGGCGCAAGCGUUACUCGGAAUCACUGGGCGUAAAGAGCAUGUAGGCGGGUUAAUAAGUCAGAAGUGAAAUCCAAUAGCUCAACUAUUGAACUGCUUUUGAAACUGUUAACCUAUAGUGUGGGAGAGGUAGAUGGAAUUUCUGGUGUAGGGGUAAAAUCCGUAGAGAUCAGAAGGAAUACCGAUUGCGAAGGCGAUCUACUGGAACAUUACUGACGCUGAGAUGCGAAAGCGUGGGGAGCAAACAGGAUUAGAUACCCGAGUAGUC
rnacentral:rRNA from 1 species